AAGACACAAUAGUGAAUUUUGCAAGAAGAGAGUGAAUAGGAGGUAGGAAACUAUGUGUACUGUCAGACUCAGUUCAAAUGUUGGUUAGUUCGGCUGAACUGAUUUUCUUCUUUCAUUUUUACUUCUUAUUUGAAGAGAUGGCUCUCUUGGCUGAAGAGGUAUGUGUUGGGAGAUAAAUGUGACACAGGAAGAAAGGAUGAUUAAAAGGGGGGGGUAUUUUUUAAAGAAGAAAAAAAGAAAGAAAGAUUGUACCCAACACAAUAUUUUGUAUAUGGUUUGAUGAAGACAAAAUAUAGCCAUACUAUUACACCCUUGAGUUUGUUUGUACCUCUUAUUAAUGUAGCCUAAGAUUCUAUUGACUCUUCUGACUGCCAUAAGACACUGGAUAUAUAUUGAUUUUACAAUCCACUAAAACCUCCAGAUCUUUUUUUCACACAAACUAUUAUCUCAGUGCAUCUUCAUUCUGUAUUUGUGAAAUUCACUUUUUUUGAGUCCUAGCAUAAGACUUUAUGUUUAUCCCUAUUAAAUUUCACUGUAAUAGAUUCUGCAUUUGUUCUAUCAGGAUCCUUUGUAGAUUCCAACCCUGUCAUCCAAUGAAUCUUCUCUUACCUAAAAUUUGAUAAGCGUGUCACCUAUUUCCCAGUCACUGUUGAAAAUGCUGAGUAGCACAGAGCUAAGGACUUAGCUUGUCAUUGGCUUAGUCAAUGGAAAUAGUUAUCAUUAUUAACGCUGGUCCCUUAAUAACUACUUUUUUAGAUCUGAUCAUUCAACCAGGUCUGAAUUAGCAUAAUAUUAGUAAAUUAACAUUUAUUAAGUGCCUACUAUGUGCCACUGCGUUAAGCAUCAGAGUACAAAAAAAGAGGCAAAAAGCAGUCUCUACACUCAAGGAGCUUAUACACCAGUGGGGAAAACAAUAUGAAAACAAAUAUACACAAAGUGAUCUAUAUUCAGAAUAAACAGGAAAUAAUUAAUAGAGUAAAGGCACUGGAAUUAAGGGGGUUGGGAAAGCUUUGAAUAAAUAAAACGGCCUUUUAGUUGGCACUUACAGGAAGCUAGGGAAGUUAAUAAGGUAGAAUUGGAGAGGGAAAGUGUUUCAGGCAUAUGGGACAGUCAGGGAAAACCAUCUUACUCAUAGAAGUAGCAAAAUAGUUUAUUAGAUACUCUAUGGUAUCUCAGGAAUUCUCCUGUCCUAUUAAUUUAGGAAUCCUAUCAAAGACAGACAUGAGAUCAAUCUGGCAUGACCUGGUCUUCAAAUUAUACUGACUAAUGGUGUUCAUUAGCUCCCUUACUAUAUGCCCUCAAACCAUAUGGAUCUUAGCUAGAAGUGACCAGAAAAUAUCUAAUCUAACCAUUCAUUUCACAAAUAAAGAAACAGAUCUGGAAAGGUUAUGUAAUGAGUCAAUCAACAAAAAAGCAUUUAUUAUGAACUUAUUAUAUGUGGCAGGUACUGUGGUAAGUGUUGGGAAUUAAAAAAAAAAAAAAGGUGAGUUCAAGAAGUUCACAUUCUAAUAAAAAUAACUAGGUACAUGCAAGAUAAGAGCAGCUAGGUGGUAUAGUGGCCAGAGCACCAAGUCUGAAAUCAAGAAGAUUUGUCUUCCUGAGUUUAAUUCUGACCUCAGACACUUCCUAACUGUGUGACUCUGGAUAAGUCAUGUCAUCCCUGUUUGCCUCAGCUCUUCAUCUGUAAAAUGAGCUGGAGAAGGAAAUGGCAAAAUACUCCAAUAUCUUUGCCAAGAAAACCCCAAAUGACAUCAUAGAGGGUCAGACACAGGUGAAAAUGAUUGAACACAUGCAGACACACAAAUGAAAGGAGAGGUAGGUACUUGCAGCUAGGGAGACUAGGAAAGUCCAGGGGUUAGUCACAGUCAGUCAAUCACAAUAUUAAGAUUGGGGCCCAGGUUCUGACACUAAAAUUAAAUUCUUUCCACUACACCAUUUUGUCUUUCCUUAAUAAAACAUUCUAGACAAAACAACUUUUAAAAGCCUGAAUGAUGUAUACAUACAAUGACUGAGUUUGGUUCCAAAGGAAAGAAGGGAAAAUGGAGAUGCGAGUAAUAUGAGUGGGAAAUGUCACAUAGACUUAGUUAAUUUGUUGGACAGUUUGGCUAAACUUCUUUUUGGUUUUUGAUUCUUGGAGAUAAAUAUUUAUAAAUGAUGGCAAUAUAAAAAGAAAAUAUAUCAAUACAAUUUUUUUUUCUUUUUCUUUCCUAUUUUUUUUUUUUUUUUUUUUUUUUUGCUGAGGCAAUUGGGGUUAUGUGACUUACCUAGGGUCAUCCAGCUAGGAAGUAUUAAGUGUCUGAGGCCAGAUUUGAACUCAGAUUCUCCUGACUUCAGGGCUAGUGCUCUAUCCACUAUACCACUUAGCUGUCCCAAUACAAGUUUUAAAAUUAAUAAUAUAUGCUAAAAAUUUUACAGGAUUUAAAAUCAAGUCCAUGGACUUAUACUAUGAAUGUUUUAACCUCUUUUUAAAAAUUGGGCUUAACAUUUAUCUAUAUAUAAUCUUGUUCACCAUGAUUUUUGUGAGCAUUUUAAAAUAUUUUAUUGAUGUUCUUUUCUUUCCUUCCUUUUCAUGUCUCUUCUCUAUCCUUCUCUUUCUUCUUUCUCUUUCUUCCUUCUUUCUCUUCCUUCCCUUCCCUUCUUUCUUCCUUUCUCACUAUCCACUAACUCCUGCCAAAUAGAAGCCUUCCUUGUAACAAACAAGUCAAGCAAAGUAAAUCAACCCAAUAGCCAGAACCAAAAGUGGAUGUCUCAUUUUAUUUGUCUAGUUCUUCACUUCUGCCAAGACACCUCAUUAUUUUUUUCAAAAAUCACAAGCACUGACCAAUUUUCUUCUCAGUACUUUGGGAUACUCUUUACUUGAAGUUGGUGAACUGAACUUAUGAAGGUCAGAUGGGCAGAAUGUUAGGCCAUGAAAUUCUAUUUGUUCUUUGAAUUCUUUGAAAUCAGCCCUCCCAAAAUUUCAAGUGUGUGUCAAAUAAUAUACCUGGCUUUCUUUUCUUAACAAGUCUUUAAGAAAAAAACUCUGUUUCUUCCAAUCAAUUUACUCUUUAUUACACCAUCAAUCGUUGGAGUCAGAGAAUUUAAGUUAAUAUCCACCUCUAUUACUUAUUACCUUGUUUGACCCUAUGUAUGUCAGCUGGGAUUCAUUAUCCUAAUCUGUUAAACGGGGAGUGGGGAGGUAAUAGACUAGAUGAUAUCUAUAAUUCCUAUGGUUCUGAAUCUAUAAUGAUAUAACCUCAUGAUUGUGAGUCUAGAAUUCCUAAUCAUCACAUUGUUUCCUAUGUGUCUUAAAUCAAAAAUGAAUCAAUUACUCAACUUUUAGCUGAGAGAAACUACAGCAUAUGUCAGAAUAACUAAAGUCUCCCAUCUUAAAGAUCAAAUCCUCGUGACAAGUCUGUGAUCUGUGUGGGGAAUAGAUAAGGUGAAGAACUUACAGGAAUGUAUGAAUUCUUUUUCUGUAUUUUAUUAUUUCUGUAUCUCCCCUAUGACCUGUAUAUGUGCAGGCUCAUAUCUACUUGAGCCUUGGCCAGCUAGAAACAUAUUUACUUAACCUGAACUGAUGACAUUUAUUGGUAUUUGACAUUUAUCAAUAUUUAGUCUAUUAGCUGGACCACUGUCUGCUUGAUUAAGCCUGAAGGCCUGACUUUGUUUCCCAGAAAUCAGGAGAUUUCAGGGAAACAGAAACCUUCCAUUCCAAUCUCCCCAACUAGCAACAACCAAUUAGAUGCCUCCCCCUCCCCUUCUCAAUGCCCUCUUACUUGUGAUGUAAUUUCUUGUAUAAAAGCUAUGUAUCUUUACUACUUCUUUAGCCCUCCUACCGCGAGCUUAUCUUGUGAUGGGACGGCUCAUCCUCCAGAGGUUUUUCAAUAAACAACUUUUCUGCCUUUUACUGAGGGAUCUCUGAGUAGUCAUUUUGGGUAAGGGUCUUCUACAUCCCUCACAGUUGGGGGCUCGUCCGGGAUGGGGUCUUUGGGGGAGAUGGCUAUGUGCACCCCAAACAGGGACAGGCGCCCACGGAGUAGUUUUCUCCAUGGUCUCUGGCUCUGGGUGAGCAGCCUCCUUCCCCUCUUAGACAACAACCCGAAGCAGGGAUACUCAGUGGAACGCAGAAUUGAAGAUUGAAAGAAGUAGAGUCCUGAUGGCCGGCAUUUGCAGCCUGAAAAGAAACAUAUGUUCUCGAGAUUUUGGUCAAAUUACAGAUUAUUGAAUCUCUUCUGAGACAUGGAUCAGCCCAUCUGAAGCUUAGAUUGACACCACAUCCACACCCCUGAGUGGAUUGAGCACCUUCGCCCAUUUCUCAGCCUGAAGCAGCUAAGAUCAAGACCAUCGCCAGUGCUCCUGAUGUAAUUUGGACUGAUAUGGGGGAAGUGGGAAAGUGGUUGAUGAAUUAUUGUUAAAAUUGCAACUCUAUUACUAGAGUUAGAAAAAAAAUGCAAACAUUACUGUGUGUUUAAGAUUUGGGAUGGAAAUUAUUAAAAAUAGUAACUAUUGCUGUUAAGGAAGUUAUAAUAUGUUUAUAAUAUCUAUGUUCACUUCAGAAUAUGUAAUUGUUUAAGGUAUUUGAUUUGAUUUGAUUUGAUUGAUUUUAGGAAACUCCUCCUGUACUAGACUGUUAUGUAUGUAGGAACUUUAAUUCACUCUUGGGAUUUAUAUGUGGAUGGUUAUUUGACUAUUUAUUAUUAUUAUUAUUAUUUUGGAUGAUUCCUUUCCAUGAGGAAAAAAAAGGAGAGGAAGAGAUAGGGAACUAGGGAAACUGGUGGCUUUUUCUCAAAAUAUCUAAAAGAGUGGGAACCCUUAGUUUUCUUUCACUUUUGCCUUAUGUACUUCUGCCCCACCCCCUAGACCACCAGUUCAGAUUGAAUUGGAAGUCCUUAAACAAUCCUUUUUGUUUUUACUAUGUUUUAGCUUUGAAACCCCUUAUUCUGUGGAAUUGCCCUGGCAGACUCAGUUUUGGGAACUAUUCUGUUUUAAAGAAAUCUCUAAGAUAAAGACAAUUGUCUUGGGACUGGCAAUCUCCAGCCCUGUAACUUCAGUUUCUUAACUGGUACCUCAGCAUUUUUAAUAAUAUUGCCCUUUUGAGAUCAAGCCUCUAAAGUUUGGGGUUUGCCUGCCUUCAUGUUCUAACUGUGCAUGCUCUGAUAGCUCUGCUCAGAAAUCUGUAUUCUAGUAGCAGCCCUGUCUGUCCCCUUGGGUGGGGACAGGUGGAGCUACUCUAAGCCUCACCCUUCUCCCCUAGAGUGGGUUGCCCCACUGAAUGGGCAGCAUGACUGUCUUGAGCCCUGCUACUCCCUAUAUAAGCAGAAGCUGAGUUAAGUGCACAACUGACUGCAGACCACCUAACACAGUGAACUGUCCAUCUCAAACUGGAUUCUCUGGCUGAGAUGAGGGCCUUUGUACUGCUGAUAACUCUGGGGUUGUCAGGAAGAGACUUGCCCUUGCUAUGAGUCCUUGCAUUUUCUAGUUUCAUUUUGAUUUAUUUGCCUCAUAUUGGGUUGGUAAAAAUUAUGGUGCUGAGACCUCCCAGGUAUCUUGGGGAGGUAAUUCAAUAAUUCAAAUAUUCAGAAGAAGAGUGUGUAAUGUUGUGCUUCAGUUUCCCUAGUUGUCAUCUUUAUUUAUCUUUGUAUUUUUAUGUUUGCCAAAUGCCAAUCUGUUCUGUGAUAACUGUUUCUAAGAUAGUUGGUGGAAGCAAUUUUUAUGGUAUGAACUUAUUGCAAUCAAUGGUAUUAUCCUGUUGCUGCUAUGUCUAUCCUGUAUAAUUACAUUAUUAACCAGAAUAGUUCAGUGGUCCCUAUCAAAAUAUUGCAUACAGAAAAUGCUAUUAAAAUGAUGAUUCUUCAGAGAAAAGACUGGAAUGUAUUAAAGAGGGAUGAUCUUGAUUGUGAACUUGAUAAACAAUGUAUAGAUAUAGUAACUGAUUUUGAAAAGUGUGUAAGUUCUUCAUAGAAAUAUGAUAAAAAUCAUUUACAUGUUAGAAGGGGGGAGCUGUGGGGAAUAGAUAAGGUGAAGAACUUA